CUCCUACGGGAGGCAGCAGUGAGGAAUAUUGGUCAAUGGACGAGAGUCUGAACCAGCCAAGUAGCGUGCAGGAAGACGGCCCUAUGGGUUGUAAACUGCUUUAUAAGGGAAUAAAGUGAGAGUCGUGACUCUUUUUGCAUGUACCUUAUGAAUAAGGACCGGCUAAUUCCGUGCCAGCAGCCGCGGUAAUACGGAAGGUCCGGGCGUUAUCCGGAUUUAUUGGGUUUAAAGGGAGCGUAGGCCGGAGAUUAAGCGUGUUGUGAAAUGUAGAUGCUCAACAUCUGAACUGCAGCGCGAACUGGUUUCCUUGAGUACGCACAAAGUGGGCGGAAUUCGUGGUGUAGCGGUGAAAUGCUUAGAUAUCACGAAGAACUCCGAUUGCGAAGGCAGCUCACUGGAGCGCAACUGACGCUGAAGCUCGAAAGUGCGGGUAUCGAACAGGAUUAGAUACCCUGGUAGUCCGCACGGUAAACGAUGGAUGCCCGCUGUUGGUCUGAAUAGGUCAGCGGCCAAGCGAAAGCAUUAAGCAUCCCACCUGGGGAGUACGCCGGCAACGGUGAAACUCAAAGGAAUUGACGGGGGCCCGCACAAGCGGAGGAACAUGUGGUUUAAUUCGAUGAUACGCGAGGAACCUUACCCGGGCUUGAAUUGCAGAGGAAGGAUUUGGAGACAAUGACGCCCUUCGGGGCCUCUGUGAAGGUGCUGCAUGGUUGUCGUCAGCUCGUGCCGUGAGGUGUCGGCUUAAGUGCCAUAACGAGCGCAACCCUUGUUGUCAGUUACUAACAGGUUUUGCUGAGGACUCUGACAAGACUGCCAUCGUAAGAUGUGAGGAAGGUGGGGAUGACGUCAAAUCAGCACGGCCCUUACGUCCGGGGCUACACACGUGUUACAAUGGGGGGUACAGAGGGCCGCUACCACGCGAGUGGAUGCCAAUCCCCAAAACCUCUCUCAGUUCGGACUGGAGUCUGCAACCCGACUCCACGAAGCUGGAUUCGCUAGUAAUCGCGCAUCAGCCACGGCGCGGUGAAUACGUUCCCGGGCCUUGUACACACCGC
rnacentral:rRNA from 1 species